rnacentral:rRNA from 1 species
AUGAAUUCCUCUGUUAUAAGAGCACCUAAACCUUAUUUAGCCACUACAGGAGCAACUGUUAAUGGUCAUUAUGGAGAAAUCCUUUACAAGGGAGAUAGGUUAGUUACGUUUAUAUAUGAAAAAUCGAGAUCUAGUGACAUAACGCAAGGUCUUCCAAAAGUGGAACAAAUCUUUGAAGCGCGUUCAAUUGAUUCAUUAUCCUCGAAUCUCGAAAGGAGAAUUGAGGAUUGGAAUGAGCGUAUACCAAGAAUUCUUGGGGUCCCUUGGGGAUUCUUGAUUGGAGCUGAGCUAACCAUAGCCCGAAGUCGUAUAUCUUUGGUUAAUAAAAUCCAAAAGUUUUAUCGAUCCCAAUGGGUACAGAUCCAUAAUAGACAUAUAGAGAUUAUUAUACGCCAAGUAACAUCAAAAGUGCGGGUUUCCGAAGAUGGAAUGUCUAAUGUUUUUUCGCCUGGAGAAUUAAUCGGACUAUUGCGAGCGGAACGAGCAGGACGAGCUUUGGGUGAAUCAAUCUAUUAUCAGGCAAUCUUAUUGGGAAUAACAAGGGCUUCCCUGAAUACCCAAAGUUUCAUAUCUGAAGCAAGUUUUCAAGAAACUGCUCGAGUUUUAGCAAAAGCUGCCCUACGAGGUCGCAUUGAUUGGUUGAAAGGCUUGAAAGAAAACNNNNNNNNNNGGAAUGAGCGUAUACCAAGAAUUCUUGGGGUCCCUUGGGGAUUCUUGAUUGGAGCUGAGCUAACCAUAGCCCAAAGUCGUAUCUCUUUGGUUAAUAAAAUCCAAAAGGUUUAUCGAUCCCAAGGGGUACAGAUCCAUAAUAGACAUAUAGAGAUUAUUAUACGCCAAGUAACAUCAAAAGUGCGGGUUUCCGAAGAUGGAAUGUCUAAUGUUUUUUCGCCUGGGGAAUUAAUCGGACUAUUGCGAGCGGAACGAGCAGGGCGAGCUUUGGAUGAAUCGAUCUAUUAUCGGGCAAUCUUAUUGGGAAUAACAAGGGCUUCCCUGAAUACCCAAAGUUUCAUAUCUGAAGCAAGUUUUCAAGAAACUGCUCGAGUUUUAGCAAAAGCUGCCCUACGAGGUCGCAUUGAUUGGUUGAAAGGCUUGAAAGAAAACGUAGUUCUCGGGGGGAUUAUACCUGUUGGUACCGGAUUCCAAAAAUUUGUGCAUCGUUCCCCACAAGACAAGAACCUUUAUUUCGAAAUAAAAAAAAAAAAUCUAUUCGCGUCGGAAAUGAGAGAUUUUUUGUUUCUCCAUACAGAAUUAGUUUCUUCAGAUUCUGACGUAACAAACAAUUUUUAUGAGACAUAA